AUACUGGGCUAGAUGGACCUUUGGUCAGACCCAGUAGGGCCGUUCUUAUAAUACAAUGCAUACCGUAGUACAUAACUCUUUAAACAUCACAUGAUUGUCAUGGAUAGGGCUUAGGUUUCACAGGCUGUGCCCCAGCAUCCCCACCAAAACAAAAUGGCCAUCUCAAAAUGUGCCCCCUGCAUCCACUACACUUCUCUCAACUCCAAUAUGGAACGGAGGAAGUUACAGGCACAAUCCUAGUGAAUUCAGGUGUGGACAGAACUGGACCUAUGCUUAAGUUUUGUGUCCAGUGCUUAAGACAGACAGGAGUCAUAAGAGCUGCCACAAAUCUACAAGCCACCGUUUCACUACAGUGUGAC